AUGUGCACUUUGGUGUUUUUAGGGUUACAGACACUCACAGGCAGUCAGUGUUGUCCCAUGGGAAUACGUGGUAAGAACUUUGAGAGACACACCACACACACACACACACACCCACACACACACACACACACACACACACACACAGCAUAUGUUUGCUGGUUUGCGCCUCCCAUGUUCAGACUCCCCUGUAAAGGACAUUGUUUAUUUGUCUAUCUAAGCCAUUUAGAGUGUGUGGGUUACUGUUACACGGGUGCAGGGCCUGGUGUGGGGUUGCUGGGUGUGCAUUCAACAAUCACUCUGUAUACCGCUGUGAUCUGUAUGGUGAACGGUGUCAUCACACUGUGUGUGUGUGUGUUCAACAAUCACUGUAUACCGCUGUGAUCUGUAUGGUGAAUGGUGUCAUCACACUGUGUGUGUGUGUGUGUGUUUCAACAAUCACUGAUAUACCGCUGUGAUCUGUAUGGUGAACGGUGUCAUCACACUGUGUGUGUGUGUGUGUUCAACAAUCACUGUAUACCGCUGUGAUCUGUAUGGUGAACGGUGUCAUCACACUGUGGGUGUGCGUUCAACAAUCACUCUCUCUGUGGGCAACACUUUGUAACGCUGAGGUGUUGACGUGGGUUCUGUGGUUCUGUCCCUGAUUCUGUCUCUCUAGCGGUUCUGCAGUUCUAGAUCUUCCUCUGUGUGAAUCUCGGUUCUCAUCACUGGAAGUUCUCACUUGGUCCACUGAUCACUUUGGUUUUCUCUUUUCUUUCUAAGACUUGAAGAAUAUGAAUCUUGACUGCCACAUCAAGAGUAUUGUUUCUGUUGUUACUGUCCUGUUUGUGAGAUAAUAACCUGUUCUUUACCAGCGGUGAACUCAUGGUACAGUAGCUGCUUGGCAUUGCCAGGUUAAAUGUCCAUAUUUGGCCGUAUACAUCAAGGUUAUUCACAACGCCCUCAAAUCAGCCUGCAUCUCUGGUCUGUGGUCUGUCUGGUCUGUCGAGAGAGAGAGACUCUCCCCUCCCUCUCUUCCUCUGUCUGUUUCCCUCCUUUUUUCUCUUUCCCUCCAUCUCAAUUCAAUCCAUCUCUCCCUCUGGUUCUCAGGUUACCAAACAGGAAUAAGGGGGAGGAGCCUUUUAGAGGGGAAACAGCCCAUGUGGGCUCUACUAUCUCCAUCCCUCUCUCCUUCCCCUCCUCCAUCCAUUCCGUUGUCCUUCCCAUAGUGUGUGUGUGAGAGAGAGAAAGGGAGAGAGCAAUGCUCAGUGCACACGCAUGCAUAUACUGUUAAAUGAUUUAGACUGCAAAGUGGGAGAGGGGAAAAGGGGAGGAGAGGGAAAGGGAAGGAGGGAGGGAAAUGGAACGAGAGAGGGAAAGGGAAGGAGGGGUGAGCUGAUGAGACAGCAGCAGCGCAUGAGCGAGAGAGAGAGAGAGGCGGCAUCACCCAGACAGACAGAGAGGGAGAAGGAGAGGAUAGACAGCGGGCUCGUCUCUCACUCAGACAGAGCUGGAAGGAAAGCAAAGGGGAAUGAGAGAGCGAAGCAAGAGGAGGAGAGGAAGACAAUGAAGGAGUGCCRUUGUUCAGCCCUGCCGUUCUGCUGUUUCACAUUCUGCUGAGACGGAGAAGAGAGGAGGAGGACAAGCUGAGGAGAGGAUAGAUGGAGAGGAUAUGAGAUCUGGCAAUGACUUGUCUGUCUGGACUGUUUUUCUCCU
ensembl:lncRNA